AUUGAACGCUGGCGGCAUGCCUUACACAUGCAAAUCGAACGGUAACGGGCCUUCGGGUGCCGACGAGUGGCGAACGGGUGCGUAAUACAUCGGAACGUGCCCGAUCGUGGGGGAUAACGAGGCGAAAGCUUUGCUAAUACCGCAUACGAUCUACGGAUGAAAGCAGGGGACCGCAAGGCCUUGCGCGGACGGAGCGGCCGAUGGCAGAUUAGGUAGUUGGUGGGAUAAAAGCUUACCAAGCCGACGAUCUGUAGCUGGUCUGAGAGGAUGAUCAGCCACACUGGGACUGAGACACGGCCCAGACUCCUACGGGAGGCAGCAGUGGGGAAUUUUGGACAAAGGGCGCAAGCCUGAUCCAGCCAUGCCGCGUGCAGGAUGAAGGCCUUCGGGUUGUAAACUGAUUUUGUACGGAACGAAAAGCCUUCUUUUAAUACAGGAGGGUCAUGACGGUACCGUAAGAAUAAGCACCGGCUAACUACGUG
rnacentral:rRNA from 1 species